GACGAACCGUGCGAACGUUGUUCGGAGUCACUGGGCUUAAAGGGCGCGUAGGCGGGCGGUCAAGUCAGGGGUGAAACCCCACGGCUCAACCGUGGAAGUGCCUUUGAUACUGGCCGUCUCGAGGGAGGUAGGGGCGUGCGGAACUUCCGGUGGAGCGGUGAAAUGCGUAGAUAUCCGGAGGAACACCGGUGGCGAAGGCGGCUUCCUGGACCGACACUGACGCUGAGGCGCGAAAGCUAGGGGAGCAAACGGG
rnacentral:rRNA from 1 species